GCAGAACCCUGCUGAGUGAUGCUGUGCAGCAGCAGCUUCCUCCAGUCCGUUCUCCUCUUGUGGAUUUCAGCAGUGCUGCCUAAACUAAUAUAACAAGACUGACGUCACCUUUAACUCAGAGCGUUGAUGAAAUUAUUUUACUAAUAAUAAGCACAAGGAAUCAAAUCAUCAGUUCAUUGCAGUUACUCAAAGGCUUCCCCAGUGAAUGCCAGUCACCUAAACCAAGUCGUCUGCCUUUAUGAGCAGGAGGGGGCACCUAUCCUCAGUGCCACGGCAUCCGGACCCCCCGAAGAUACUUCAGGAGCGUGCAGACUACAGCUGAAUAUCACAGCUUUACAAACUGAAGCACACAACAGGAUAACAUGCCAUUGAAGGAGGUAAGC